GGCUGCUGUGGGCACCGAUUGGGUCGCUUCUCCCGCACGCUGUGACGGCCCGGUGCGUCUCUAGCGUCAGCCCACGCGGCGCCUCCCGCGCUUUGUCUCGGUCGUGGGAGCCUAGCGCUGCGGCGCGUGGAGCGGGGAGAGCUCCCGCGGGCCUGAGAAACGCAGAUACCCUCAGAAAGGAAACGGAUGCGACCUAGACGCUGGAGACGAAACGAAAGAUGUCUUGACUUUGGAGGUGAGGCUUUGCUGCACCACAGAUUUGCCAUUGUGAGUUUCUCCCUCACCACAAGCCCAGAAACAAUGGAGCCAGAUUACCAUAGACUGAAACCUCAGAAACUAAGUCAAAAUAAACUUUUCCUCCUUUGAGUUCAUUUUCUUGUAUUUUGUUGCAGUGAGGAAUACUGGACUAACGUACUUGGGGUUCAAGAAAAACCUAAAGAUUUUGUUAUUUAAAGAUGUUUAAGUUCACAUGAACUUCAUUCUUUGUAAAGAGUAUUUCUCUAGCACAUAUGAGGCACCCUGGGUUCAAUAUGCAGAGAGAGAGAGAGGGAGAGGGAGAGAGAGAGAAGCUGCUCUACAUUUGAGCCCCUGGGGUUUCAAACAGAAGAAAAAAAGCUUCAAAACAUUAACAAAUAUUUU
rnacentral:lncRNA from 1 species